UACACUCUCCCGUCCUCUCUGUCGCUCUUCCCAUCUCGGGAAGAUCCCGCAAUAGGCGAAAAAUAUAUCUAUGCCUAUUUGUUAUAUUGUGAUCUAGACUUACAUCGAAGUAUAUAUUCAGUACUUUUCUUUCUAGAUAUCCUUUCGGACGUUUUCUGAGUUUAGACUAGGUGAACCAUCGCACUGCAGGACCACAUAUUUCGACAAUCAAACGAUACA